AGAACAUAGGCUUCAGUACAGAAUGUGAGCUUCUGCUGGGAAGAAUUUGAUUUCAGAAGUGGGAGGAAUGGUUUAUGACACUCAGAGACCUGCUGCACCCAUGACCAAAACAUUUCCAGGUAUUUCCUCUAAACGUUCAUCAAGAUCAUGCGGAUGGUUGCAGAAAUCUGAAGCACUGCUGGAAAAGGGAGAGGACCAGAUGCUGGGAUCCACGCUCUCCCUGAGCAUGUCUCAGAUACCAAGAAGCCUUAGAAAGGUUAUCACUGUGAUAUAUAUGAUGAGAAUACUACUGUGUCUGAGGC